rnacentral:rRNA from 1 species
UACGAAGGGGGCUAGCGUUGCUCGGAAUCACUGGGCGUAAAGCGCACGUAGGCGGAUUGCUAAGUCAGGGGUGAAAUCCUGGAGCUCAACUCCAGAACUGCCCUUGAUACUGGCGGUCUCGAGUCCGGGAGAGGUGAGUGGAACUGCGAGUGUAGAGGUGAAAUUCGUAGAUAUUCGCAAGAACACCAGUGGCGAAGGCGGCUUUCUGGACGAUGACUGACGCUGAGACGCGAAAGCGUGGGGAGCAAACAGG